CACGCGCGCACACUUAAUUCGCCGCCCGGCGUUGCGCGCAUCGGCCGAGGCUGAAAUAAUUAGGAGGACAGGAGCACGUAAUUAACGGAUUCGUUAAUGCCGAGUACACCAAUGCGCGAGUGAGAACGGAGAUGAUUGCCCGCGGGUUUUUGCAGUGACUAAAUGAUUCUUUUUAGGAACAGGAGCGAGUGAGAUUUUUUUAUUGUGCCGACAGUUUUAUAAUCAUAUAUUAUAAUAGUUGGUAUUAAGUGUAUGCAGAAGUUUUAAUCUUUUUUCAGUGCUCUGGUAUUAUUAUCUAAACUUUAAAUAAAUUUUCGCUUUUUUACAUUUUUGAAGAGUUGGUAUCGAAGUUUGUAAAACUUUAUAUGUCAUGAUUUAACUUAUAUACUUACAUACGUUAUCAGAUGUACGAUUUCAUUGGCAUCGUUGUAUCAAAUUAAUCUACAGUUUUUCAAGUAAUUGCGUAUUAUGAUUUGCAAAUACAUUCGAAAAUUCUUCUUUCUUAAUGCACGCAUAAUCUUCGGUCACGUAAUACUAAUAAAUGCAUUUUUUACAUCGAUACUUUACAUCACAGCACUGCAAAUAUAUCUUUUUUUGCAAUGUCGCGUUAUAAUUUCUUUGGCUUUUUGCAGUGCGUCAAUUGUUGACCAGCUUCGCCUCAUUAUUUAACUUUGUACUUUAAUAUUUGUAUAAUCAUCUAUUCUCUGUUGUGCUUCGUAUAUAUAAAUAUAAUCUUUCUUUCCCCUCUCUUCUUCCUUCUGCUUUCUCUAAGCAAAUAAUUUUUUUUAUAUUGAUAGUCGCUAGAAUUUAAACCAAUACACAAAUGACCUCAUAUCAUGUAUGUAUAUCAUAGAACCAAACGGUUAUUAUCGUUGAGUUAUUCAUCCAAAGAAGACAUCAUAGAAUCCAGUAGAUAUCGAUUCGUAGACAUCAGCAACUAAUAGAACAAGAAGGAAGAUCAAGUUUAAUCCCUCUAAGAUUUUGAAAGUAUUAUAUGAUACAAUAUUUACUUCAAUUGUUAAUAUCAGUGUAAAUACAGUGGGAAAAGCAUAAUGUGGAUCGUCAUAAUUUCAGUUCUUGCAAUGCACGUAAUGUAUUCAUAUUCGCAUAUGAAUAAUUUUUUAAUUGAAAAUAAUGAUAUUGAUGUAGAAUACCCUAUUAAUGAUAAUGAAUUAUCGUCUUAUAAUAUAGCUAUAGGGAAUCGCAUAAGGUGGUAUGACAUAACUAUAUGGUGUAUAAUAUUCCUCAGUUGCAUCAUGCUCAUGUGGAUAUGUAUGUGGAUAUGUACAUGGAUAUAUGAUUUAAUAGACGACAAUCGCAUACGGCGUCGAUUAAUGAAAAAAAGAGUUCGAGUUAUACAACAAUUAAAUACGUGCACACAGUAACGCAUAGACGAAGAGUAAAAUGUGACAAAGGCAAAGAUGCAUAAAGUUAUUUGAUUCGUAAAUUAUUAUUAAUACUAUUAUACUAUCGAACUGCUAUUAUGCAUCUGCAACACUACAAUAUAUAUAUUGAUACUGGUCGA